GCUGGGCAUGGUGGCGUGUGCCUGUAAUCCCAGCUACUCAGGAGGCUGAGGCAGGAGAAUCGCUUGAAUCAGGGAGGCGGAGGUUGCAGUGAGCCAAGAUCGUGCCACUGCACUCUAGCCUUGGCUACAGAGCGAGACUCCGUCUCAA
rnacentral:SRP_RNA from 2 species